rnacentral:rRNA from 1 species
GCAUGCCUACAACAUAGCAUUAAUGCACCAGAUCCCAUUAGAACUCCACAAUUAAGCGUGCUCAUGCUAGAGUAAACUGGGAUCGGUAACUGCCCGAGAAGUCCCAGUGUUUUACAUGCC